rnacentral:rRNA from 1 species
UACGGGGGGAGCAAGCGUUGUUCGGAUUUACUGGGCGUAAAGAGCUCGUAGGCGGUUUGUCGCGUCUGCUGUGAAAACCGGAGGCUCAACCUCCGGCCUGCAGUGGGUACGGGCAGACUAGAGUGCGGUAGGGGAGAUUGGAAUUCCUGGUGUAGCGGUGGAAUGCGCAGAUAUCAGGAGGAACACCGAUGGCGAAGGCAGAUCUCUGGGCCGUAACUGACGCUGAGGAGCGAAAGCGUGGGGAGCGAACAGG